ACAGCUGUAGCUCAGUGGUAGAGUAUCUGUUUUGCAUGUAGAAGGUCCCAGGUUCAAUCUCUGGCAACUGCU